rnacentral:snRNA from 1 species
GUGCUUGCUUCAGCAGCACAUACACUAAAAUUGGAACGAUACAGAGAAGAUUAGCAUGGCCCCUGCACAAGGAUGACAUGCAAAUUUGUGAAGCGUUCCAUAUUUUU